UUCUCUCUCUCUCUCUCUCUCUCUCUCUCUCUCUCUCUGUUUUUGUUUUUAAGACAACCCAAUAUUUCUGACUUAAUAAGAGAGACAAUAGAGACACUGAAACUGAGAUUAGAAGGGGAUUGCUGGGUUCUAUUUGUAUGUCUUGUCUCUUUCUCUCUCUCUCUCUCUCUCUAUGUGGACAUUCGACUUGCAUAUUCUUAGGCCUUUUUGAUUGUUCUUCACCUUCAACUCUCAGCCGUUGAUCUUUUAGAGAAAAGGGAAAGUAUCUAGAACAAAAGAAGUGCUCAUUCUUCUUUCCUUGGCUAGUCUUUAUAAAAUAUCCCACCUGGACUUCCACCUCAGUAUUUUUUCCACGCCUUCAAACCAGGCGCUUCAUAUACUUACGGCACGGCAGUGCACAAUAAGCCAAUUGUAAUUGUUGAAUCUAGUUGUACUUGCUAAGUUGAUUUAAUGGGGACAGGGGAAGAGAGCACACCUGCUAAGCCUUCCAAAUCAGCAUCAUCAACUCAGGAAGUACCAACAACACCCUCAUAUCCUGAUUGGUCAAAUUCUAUGCAGGCUUAUUAUGGUGCUGGAGCUUCUCCACCUCCUUUUUUUGCAUCAACUGUACCAUCUCCAACUCCUCAUCCAUAUAUCUGGGGCAGCCAGCAUCCUCUAAUUCCACCCUAUGGCACCCCAGUUCCAUACCCAGCUUUAUAUCCUGCUGGGGGAUUAUAUGCCCAUCCUAAUAUGACCACGACACCAAAUUCAGCACAGAUAAAUACAGAGUUGGAAGGAAAGGUUGCUGAUGGAAAGGAUCGGGCUUCAGCCAAAAAAUCCAAAGGAACAUCAGCUGGCAAGGCAGGAGAGAGUGCAAAGGCAACUUCAGGUUCUGGAAAUGAUGGCGCCUCUCAAAGUGCUGAAAGUGGUAGCGAUGGCUCCUCAGAUGCAAGUGAUGAGAAUCAACAGGAAUUUGCUGCAAAUAAGAUGGGAAGUUUCAAUCAGAUGCUUGCAGAUGCCAAUGCGCAAAAUAACACUGCAGGGGCAUCAGUGCCAGGGAAACCUGUCGUAUCUAUGCCUGCAACUAAUCUAAAUAUUGGAAUGGACUUAUGGAAUGCAUCUGCUGCUGCUGCUCCUGGAGCUGCAAAAAUGAGAACCAAUGCAUCUGGUGCCUCAUCAGCAAUAGUUCCUGCAAUAAUGCCUGAACAAUGGAUACAAGACGAGCGUGAACUGAAAAGACAGAAGAGGAAGCAAUCUAACAGGGAGUCAGCCAGAAGAUCAAGAUUACGGAAGCAGGCCCCAGAGGGGCAAAAGGAGCUUAAUUCUGUUCAAGCUUAUCUAUCUUCGUUAGGACACUUGGCAUAAUAUGUUGAUAAUAACUGGGCUAGAUAUCGUUGGUUAAUGGUUAUAUGUGGAGAUGUGGACAUCUAGGUUGGCUAUACUCUUCUGGUUGAAGGUUAGAAAGUGGGACGAACCAGAAGUUUAGAAGAACAGAAAUAGAGAAAGGGAAGAAGCACAGAGAAGAAAUCAAAGAGAAGAAACUGUCAUUAUCUCAUUCAAUGGUUUGCAGUUGUGAUGCACAAGUAUUUAUAACCAAAUGUACAGCAGAAAAACAGAAAUGUAACAGAUUACAAUAGCAGUUCCUGCUCAUCCAUAACAGACGCUACUCUCACCAACAACACAACCAAUCGGAAUUCUCUGUUUAUUACUUCCAACCUCCCAUUGUUCUCUUCAAUGCACCAUUUAACCUCUAGUCUGCAACAGAAAACCCAAGCAACUGAAAGUUUGGGGAAGUGUUUUCUUUAGAAGUUUACAAGAUAUUGACCAGCUCAUCUUUUUAUAAGUUGUUAAAUCUUUUUCUUUCAUUAAUCAUCCUUGGCAGGCAGAGUGUGAAGAGCUACAAGCCAGGGUAGAGAAUUUGACUAAUGACAGUUGCAGUCUUAGAGAGGAACUGCAGAGGGUAUCUGUGGAAUGCGAGAAACUUAAAUCUGAAA